AUUGAACGCUGGCGGCAGGCCUAACACAUGCAAGUCGAGCGGAGCGGCGGACGGGUGAGUAAUUCCUAGGAAUCUGCCUGGUAGCGGGGGAUAACGUCCGGAAACGGGCGCUAAUACCGCAUACUAUCAGAUUAGCCUAGGUCUGAUUGGCUAGUUGGUGGGGUAAAGGCCUACCAAGGCGACGAUCCGUAACUGGUCUGAGAGGAUGAUCAGUCACACUGGAACUGAGACACGGGCCAGACUCCUACGGGAGGCAGCAGUGGGGAAUAUUGGACAAUGGGCGAAAGCCUGAUCCAGCCAUGCCGCGGGUGUGAAGAAGGUCGUCGGAUUGUAAAGCACUUUAAGUUGGGAGGCGUUACCAACAGAAUAAGCACCGGCUAACUUCGUGCCAGCCGCCGCGGUAAUUC
rnacentral:rRNA from 1 species